CGGGGUGAGUAACGCGUGGGUAACCUGCCUCAUACAGGGGGAUAACAGUUAGAAAUGGCUGCUAAUACCGCAUAAGCACACAGUUUCGCAUGGAGCAGUGUGAAAAACUCCGGUGGUAUGAGAUGGACCCGCGUCUGAUUAGCUAGUUGGUAAGGUAACGGCUUACCAAGGCGACGAUCAGUAGCCGACCUGAGAGGGUGACCGGCCACAUUGGGACUGAGACACGGCCCAA
rnacentral:rRNA from 1 species